rnacentral:tRNA from 1 species
GGUCCUGUGGCCUAAUGGAUAAGGCGUCUGACUUCGAAUCAGACGAUUGCAGGUUCGAGUCUUGCCAGAAUUG